rnacentral:rRNA from 1 species
GGAUCCAGACUUUGAUCCUGGCUCAGGAUGAACGCUAGCUACAGGCCUAACACAUGCAAGUCGAGGGGAAACGGCAGCUUAGCUUGCUAAGCUGGACGUCGACCGGCGCACGGGUGAGUAACGCGUAUCCAACCUGCCCCACGGUGAGGGAUAACCCGCGGAAACGCGGCCUAAUACCUCAUGGUCUCCGAGUUUGCCAUCAACCUUGGAGUAAAGAUUCAUUGCCGUGGGAUGGGGAUGCGUCUGAUUAGCUUGUUGGCGGGGCAACGGCCCACCAAGGCAACGAUCAGUAGGGGUUCUGAGAGGAAAGCCCCCCACAUUGGAACUGAGACACGGUCCAAACUCCUACGGGAGGCAGCAGUGAGGAAUAUUGGUCAAUGGGCGAGAGCCUGAACCAGCCAAGUAGCGUGCAGGAAGACGGCCCUAUGGGUUGUAAACUGCUUUUAUGCGGGGAUAAAGCGGGCGACGUGUCGCCCUUUGCAGGUACCGCAUGAAUAAGGACCGGCUAAUUCCGUGCCAGCAGCCGCGGUAAUACGGAAGGUCCGGGCGUUAUCCGGAUUUAUUGGGUUUAAAGGGAGCGCAGGCCGGGUAUUAAGCGUGUUGUGAAAUGUAGGCGCCCAACGUCUGCACCGCAGCGCGAACUGGUGCCCUUGAGUACGCACGACGUUGGCGGAAUUCGCCGUGUAGCGGUGAAAUGCUUAGAUAUGGCGAAGAACUCCGAUUGCGAAGGCAGCUGACGGGAGCGCUACUGACGCUCAUGCUCGAAAGCGCGGGUAUCGAACAGGAUUAGAUACCCUGGUAGUCCGCGCGGUAAACGAUGGAUGCCCGCUAUUUGCGCAUUAGCGCAAGUGGCCAAGUGAAAACGUUAAGCAUCCCACCUGGGGAGUACGCCGGCAACGGUGCAACUCAA